CACGACCACUGGAUGGAGAUGUAGGCCUACCCCAUCUAACCACAACAGAGGAAACGUAAACAAACCAUAUGUGGCGACAAAUCACAGAGGAAAAGGCUAAACGAGAGGGUUUACUCAGCCCAAAAAAUGUCAGCGAAAAUAAAACCGCGAGUGUUGAAUUUGUUCAACGAAAAUGUAAUGGCUUAUUUUCUACCUGAGGUUUAUUUGAUCGAAUAGAAGUUUCGUAAUGCUUAAAUUGUUACGCGUAUACUGAUAUAAGUUGGACACGUGACAUCCCAGCAACUUUGAGAAAAAAAACACUUUAAAUUCGAGUUGUCUCGAGAUGGUUUAGCGUCGUAUUCAUGUAAUGUGGCUGUAGCAUAUAAUCUCUCGUCAUUGAAUACAGGCGGUUGAAGUUAACAACCCUCAUCGAAUAUUAAAAACAAAUUACAAUAAAUAGAUGUAUCCACCAAUCCAAAGAAUAGGCGGGAACUAGACAGCCAGCCGUGCCACUUUGUGAACAACGACUCCCAUUGUUAGGGCGAAGAGACAUGUAGUCUUGUCAGUUUUCCAUAAUCUUUGGUUUGAUUAAAACAUCUCUGGUGGGAAAUGCAUAUUGUUUUAGGCAGAUUUGAGGUUAUUCGCAUGAAAAUCGGCCCCAAAUUGGUUGGAAACCUAGCUAUAGACGUGAAACUAGUUAGGGAAUUAAGAAAAUGUAAUGGUAGCUACGUUAUUAAUAUGAAGAUAAUGAAAGGGUGAUUUCUGUUCGGCUAGUUGAAGAAGUUAGUAAUCUGAAUGACAGCCAGUAGUUCGAGCUAGUGAGUAACGUUAGUGUUCUCAGGUAGUUAGCUAGGCAACUGUUGUGGCAAUGACUUCCAGAGGUAGAGGAACCCAAAAACCAAACAUCUGGUACAAAAGGAGCUCCACUCAAUGCUAUAUCCAGUUAUAAAGUCGGAUACACCUGGAACCAAGGCGGAAGACAAGGAGCCGAAAAUAAGUGACUGGAGUUGGCCAUCCCUGAAGUCGGUCUUUCUUCCAGGCACCUUGCAAGGAGUUCCUCAAACUAUGGAUGCAGAAGACCUUUGGAUGGGUUCAUCCUUACAAAGCCAGGUCUCACAUSGCAGGGUGGAGCUGGAAGGAUGAGUGGUGGACAGCUAGGAGGGAGUUGAGGCUCACAGUGAGGGCAGAGUGCCAUUACAGCAGGAACAAGAGUUGCUCCUGUAUGACAGCUGAGAGGCGGUGUCUGCAUGUGGCUUGGGACAGCUGGGAAGUGUACAUGAGGAUGAAACACAGGAUGCAAUAAUCUGCUCUUCAGUUCCAGAAACUCACAYCUCUACGGCACUAUGUUCAUGCCUGGAUAAGCUACGUUCACCUCCGCCAAGCUAAGAGGAAACCACAAGCUGUUGCUGUGCGAGCCUGGCAACUCCGCUUGGUCCUGAGGUAUUGGUAUGUGUGGAGAUGUGGACUACAGAGAGAGGUGGACAGAGAGCAGGGUGUUGACCAUCUGGCACAAUUCAGCAUACAGCGCAGGCCACUGGAGCGCUGGAGACACUAUCCUACCACACACACACUGACCGAUGUGAAGUCACACACUAUUGCAAGAACAACAUUAAGAAUCCUCACCUUAUGGUAAACUUCAUGUGCCCUCAUCCACCUCAACAUCAUACUUCGCAACAUAUUGCAAGAAGAUUAAGUGAAUUUCCUGAGCUUAUGUGCAGAUGUGGAGUUGUGCAUGCAGGAGUCAGAGAGAUCAGGCAGCAGCAAGUUAACACCAACACCGCCAUCUAUUGGUGACAUGGAGCAAAGCACUUCUGAAUUAUUUCUGCACUACUCGGUCCAUAGACAAGUUGCUGUACCACAGAGUAAUUCCUUCACUUUCUGUCUCUAAUUUGUUCUGUCUGCAGCACGCUGGUCUGAGAAGUCUGGCCCUUAAUAUCGCUCAGAUACUCAUCGACUCAACAAGAACAUCGCUGUCCAGCGUCAUCAUCACACUGCAGGUAUUGGAUACUCUGGCAGCAACGUCUGGAGGAAGCUGAAGAUGGGGUACUUCAGACACUGAUGCAGAUUACACACACCCACAACAGGUUGGCAGGCUCCUUUUGGCAAAUUUCAGCGACACUGUCCAUGCACAUGUUUUUUUGACUUCCCAGACAACUAGUGUGUUAUUAGAAGAGUAAUUCUGAAAGUAGUUUCUCUGGACCGCACGUCACUACAGAGCUACUGCUUGAAUCACUGGAGAGAGCGGCUUGUUGAGCACUGACACAUGCAGGUACACACACACCUARAUGUAACUGUCAAAAUAAAGGAACCYCCAACAUAAAGUGUCUCAAUAGGGCGUUGACUCCACCACYAGCCAGAACAGCUUCAAUGCACCUUCAGUUGGUGUAGAUUCUGCAAGUGUCUGGAACUCUAUUGGAGGGAUACGACAGCAUUCUUCCACGCAAAAUUCUAUAAUUUCGUACUUUGUUGAUGGUGGGAAAACGCUGUCUCAAGCGCCACUCUGAAUCUCUCAUAAGUGUUCAAUUGGGUUGUGAUCUGGGGACUGAGAUGUCCAUGGCAUACGGUUGACAUKAUUUUCAUGAUCYUCAAAGCAUUCAGUGACCGCUUGUGCCUUAUAAAUGGGGGCAUUGUUAUACUAUGGAGGCAUAGCUAUGGUAGCUAAAAUAAUGGCCUGCCAAGCAUUUUUGUARGUGACCCUAAGCAUGAUGGGAUGUUAAUUGCUUAAUCAACUUAUAACCACWCCUGUGUAGAAGCACCUGCUUUCAAUGCACUUUAUUACUCAAGUGGUUCUGUUAUUUUGGCAGUUACCUGUACAUUACUGUGUGUGGUUGUAGGGUCUGGAGCGURGUGCUCAGGCCUGGUUUGCGAACCACGUCUUUCCACAGUGUCUGAACUCCUGGGCUGAGUUUACCUGCCAGAGGAAACAGCACAGGGAGAGGCGAGACGACACAACCCCAUAAUCACAUCCUGUUUCUGAACUAGUGCUGAUCUAGGAUCAGGUCCACCCAGUCCAUGUGAUCUUAUGAAUUAUGAUCUGAAAAGCAAAACUGAUCCUAGAUCAGCAUACUACUAUUCCAUUUUUUUUUUUUAAAGGGUCCUGGGCUACAUUUAUGAAUACAUAUAGCUAGCCUUGUGGUGAUGAUGAUGACAUUUGUCUUAAUGUGUGACACACUCUAACCGUCUGUGGGCAGCGUCAGUACACCUGGGCCUUUUACACCUGGUGGGGACAUUCAGAGGAGAGAAAGGAGCAGAGGCUGGCUGAGAGGAUAGGAGAACAGCUGUCCCGACACACACACACACACACACACACACACACACACACACACACACACACACACACACACCAUCAUGGUACAGCCAUACACCCAGACAGAGCCCAGCUGUCCUGCCCUUUGGGCCUUGCUGCAUGAAUAGAGGUGGUGUUUGACUAGAGCCUGGCACCACUGGCAGUGGAAGGUGAGGAAGGAGAAACGGAGAGCCUCUGACAUACUGGACCACCAUACUGUAGUCCACAACACACUGAGCCAGUGGAAGGACAACGUCACCAUGAUCCGGGACAGGAGGGUUCUGCAUGUGUGGAAGGAGACUGCAGCAGCCAGGAGCAGUGAGAAGAGGGCAGAGAACCACUACCGGCACUGUUCAGGCUAAGGUGCUGUUGGCAUGGAGGAAAGCCACAUCCUGUGUCAAACCGUCACCGGCAGUGAGCAGGGCUCCGAGUCGCAUGGAUAAAGUGAGGCAGCAGGGGACUUUCAAGGAGAUGGCGGGAGCGAAGCAGAGCGGUUGUGGAGGAGAGUACAGGCAUGGAGAAAACCAAAAGGCACCACUCUCUUCUUUGCAGUAUGUUCAGAUUGUGGACUAUGUACCGGCAGCAUCAGCAGAGCUAUAAGGUGAUGCAAGAAACGGGACACUCAAUGUUGAGACGGGCCGCCCCCAGGUGGUAAGGCUGCAGCACAGAAGGAGAGCGGCUGAGCAGACAGAACUGGCCCUCUGGCAUUGGUCCCUCAGUCUGCAGGCCAAGGUGCUGGAGGCUGUGGGUCGCGGAGCAGCACCGGAAGCAGGAGAGGCUGGCGCAGGCUYCCAGUUCUAUAGAGACCAGCUUCUGAGGAAAGGGGUGGCCCACGSCGCUCACAUGGGCAGCUUCUSCACCAACAUAGCACUGCACAGCCAGGAGCAGAUAGUUCUUCUCGGUGUCUCCAGGGGUGGUGUUGCAGUGGAAACAGACAGCAGGUGGCGGUGCGUGCUUCCAGAUGACAACCACGACGUCCUAGAGUUCUGCUGUACUCCCCGGUCAAAGAACUGCUACCACCUGCAACUCCUCUACCACCUCCAACCCAGGUCCCAGUGACAGCGAGCCUCCACCCUGCUGCAGCCUCCCUCCCCAUCAGUCCCAUGCUGGCACGCCCAGCGCCCCCAUCUCAGUCUCCCAACAGCCCCACAUUAUGGAUCAGUWGACCAGACUACCCCACUCCUCAUUCAUGACCACCCACACUCAAACUAAGCCAGAGGCUGAUGUAGAAGAUGUGUUAACUGAGGAUGUGGAUCCCACCUUAGUCUGGACCAGAGAGCUGCUCAAUAUCCACCUGGACAUGCAGRGCUUCCAACAGGACUGCAAGCAACUCCAGUUGUAAGGCAACAAAAUUGAAAAAAUGCCAAGGGGGGUGAAUACUUUUGCAAGCCACUGUAGCUAAGACUUGAAGAGGUUUUGAGAAGCUGGCUGAAGAUGAGUGGAAGUGAGGGAGAGACUGCGGAGAGGAACACAAUCAGUCAAGGGCUGGAUGAGGAGGACGACUUAGACUGCCGUUACACCAGUCCAUAAAGAAAACCAGAACCAGAACCAAUCAUUGAAAUGGAGUGUAUUGGCAGGCUGUCAGCUGAGCUGGCAGAGCAGAAGCCUGUAAAUAUCUUGAAUGCUGCCAGGAUCCACAGGAUAGAGAGUGUUCUCCACAGCAGCACAGCCACAGGACAGGGACUGGGACAGGGACAGGCCGUUCUCAGCAGGCCUCCAGAGCAUGGGGCUACUGAUCAUUACUCUGUCCACCACACUAGAUGACAGACCGGACCAUGGUCGCCCCAGUGGUGUAAGAGAAUGACAUGUUGCCAUUCUGCACUGGUUGUUUUUUAUAGUAUAAAAACAUAAUUAUUCAAAAUAGAGGAAGAUGUAUGGAAAUUGUUCAAUUGAAGCUUUUGAAUUUAAAACCCUAAUCUUGGUGAUAAUCGGUUGGACUGAAAAAUAAUGGCAAGGCAGCUGUGUUUGAUUUAUGUUUGACUUGACUAUGCUGUAAUGGCUUUUUGUUAUAUACAUAAUGUUCUGGUGUUUGUACAUUUAAUAAAAUAUUUGCUACAUGCUUAA